UACGUAGGGGGGCUAGCGUUGUCCGGAAUCAUUGGGCGUAAAGAGCGUGUAGGCGGCCCGGUAAGUCCGCUGUAAAAGUCAAAGGCUCAACCUUUGAAUGUCAGUGGAUACUGCCGGGCUAGAGUCCGGAAGAGGCGAGUGGAACUCCUGGUGUAGCGGUGGAAUGCGCAGAUAUCAGGAAGAACACCAACGGCGAAGGCAGCUCGCUAGGACGGUACUGACGCUGAGACGCGAAAGCGUGGGGAGCGAACAGG
rnacentral:rRNA from 1 species